GGGACUAAAUAUAUAACACAAACUUAGCUAGAGUCCAAAGUUGGAGUAGAAGUUGUUGAAACAGUUCCCUUCAUGUAAUUGUUAUAAACAAAGUUCACAAGCUAUUCAUUACCCACUUUGGGCAGGGUGUAUCAGCCAUUUUAAAUCUGCCCUCAAAAGCACAGAACAGAUCAGAUGGCACCUUGCUUAUAGAGGAGAGGGUCUACGAGAACCAAAUUCCAGCUUCAGCGUAUGACCUUGGGUACAGCUACAAGAUGGAGGAAGCUAUUUGACCUGCAUCAGACUUUAUGUGAACACAAGGUAAGCCUUUAUCAUGUGAAGCCACUGAGAUUUGAGGAUUUAUUCUGGGAUUGCCACAUAGUUUGGCCUGUCCUGACAAUAAGCGGGCGUGACUGCUGCUUCACUUCCCCUCACCCCACCUGCUCCUCCAAUUUGUGUGAUCUUGUGUCUGCCCUCACUGCUUGGGGAAACGGCUACCCUCAAAAUUUACCAGUGACCUCAUUCUUAUUCAGCUACAGACUGCUGAGUUGCCUCAUGCACUUAAACUCUUCUUUCUCUCUUAAUCUUUUACUUCAGUAUUUUAAGUUUAACAAAAAGUAAUCCCUUCACAUUUUAAGGAAAUCUCCCCUUACCUUCUUAAUUAUUUAUCUGCCUUCUGUUCUGUUUGCUUUUUCUCUUACCUCCAAAGGCAGGUGUUCCCCCAAAGAUCUGCCUCUGGCUCCCCUCUCUUCUCAUUCCCCCACUCCCCCAGGUGCUUCCAUAUGCUCCUGUGUGCUCCAGCAGUUGGCUCGUUUGCACAAGGUGGCAUUCCUCACCCUCAGCUCCAGCCCAGUGUUUCCAGCCUCUCUAGAUGUCUGCCUGGGGCUGCAGCCCACUUUUGGAGAUGACUGUUCAGAACUAGACUUAUCAUCCUUUUUCCUCUUUUCCUUCUUCUUCCUAUUGUGCUCCCUUUUACUUACUAUUCAUGGCACUGUUAUCAAAUUUCACCCAGGCUUGACCCCUAGAUUUUCUUUUUGACUUGGUCUUUUCCAUUCGACCACUCCCUUAUCUAAUCAGUUACAGAGUGCAGUCGAUUCUUUCACCUGGUCCCUUCUCUGAUCUCCAUUACUAUUACACUACUUGUGUGUAUGUAAUGGCAUUGGGGGGAGACUAGAAAGACACAUGCUGGACUGUUGACCGUGGUUAGUUCUGGGGAAGAAUAUCCAUGGGAGUGGGUGGAGACGAUGGGGGCUUUCGUGCUUGAAAAUGUAUUAUUCUGUACUUUUAACAUACUUUCUAACAAUGCAUUCACAUAUUAACUGCAUAAUACGAAGGCAACUUAAAAAAAGUAAGAAUAGGCUGCCUGUGAUGUAGUGAAGACUUCAUAACUGGAAAUUUUGGAACAAAAGUUAGAUGACUUAGCAUUAGGGAUGUCAUAGAUGUUGUAGAAGGGAUUCCCGUAUCAAAUGGUAAACUGGAAGUUAUCUUCUGCAUCAGUUAGGAUUAGAUUCAGUGGUGAGUGAUGGAACUCCAAAAUAACACAGACUUAAACAACAUGGAAGUUUGUAUUUGAAGUAAGAGUCUAGAAGGUAAUCAAUCCAAGAUUUGUGAGAGUCUGCCACAAUUCUCAGAGAUUUCUUCCGUCUUGCCACUCAUGUCAUGAGCUCCACCUCAUAGUUUAAUCAAGUUGCUUAAGCUUCAGCCAUCAUGUUUGCAUUCCAUUUAGCAAGACAGGCAGAUUAGCACAUGCCCCCUGCCUUUCAGGACACUUUCCAGAAGGUGCUACUUCUACUUCUACUCCUAGUUACACAGAAAC
rnacentral:lncRNA from 1 species